GCCAAGAUGGCUGAAUAAGAACAGCUCCGGUCUACAGCUCCCAGCGCGAGCGACGCAGAAGACGGGUGAUUUCUGCAUUUCCAUGUGAGAGGAGCCAUUGAAGAAUUCUGUUGUCCUAUCCCAGAAGGAGCAAGGGGACAACACUGAUAUCCUGACCGCUGACCAUCCACCACCACUUAAAGAGGUCCCCAAACCCCCGGCUGUCUACCAAUACCAGUCUGUGACCUCUUAGGAACCGAGCUGCACAGCAGGAGGUGAAUGGUGGAGAAGCGAGCAUUAUCGCCUGAGUUCCACCUCCUAUCAGUUUUAAAAAGAAUAACAGAAAGAAAGAAGUGGCUGAAACCUAAAUGCCAUAUGGAGAAGACAGCUAAUUGCCACACUCUCCUCUUUGGUCUUUCCUGGUACACAGCAUACAAGCCCACAGAUUGAGGACUCUGCACUUGCUGUUCUCUCUGCCUGGAGCUCUAUGGCUCCAGAUAGACUCCUGCCAACUCCUUCGCCUUGUUCAGGUUACCUUCAUUAAAUGUCAGCUUAAAUGUGUGCCUACUUUUUGCCCUACCUGGAAUUGCAAGCACCUCUCACCACUGUGCUCCCAUUCUCCUUAACUUAAGCCACUUUUAUUUUCAUAAUAAAGCCACAUAUUUUUUCUUAUUAUAUCAUAAUCACACUGUAUAAUUUAUAUUUUAUUACUUUUGUUUGUAUACUUAUUCUAUGUUUCUGUUCACAAGGAUGUAAACCCCA